AAAAAAUUCAUUAUAAUUGCUCUCACGUUUCCUCUUCCUUUCAUGGGGAACAACCAUGUGUAUUGACUUUUUUCAUCAACAAUGGUAAGAAGAUAGUGGUGACCAUACAAAGAAGGAAUGGAUAAAGGACUCCAAAUAUCAAUGUCAACAAUAUCAAAAGAAUUUUUACUAAUAGAUUGACAUAUAGGAAAUGAAAGUUUUUAUUUUUUCUUGCCAAAUGACAAACAUCACAAAUGAAGGCAAUAUAAGAACACACAAAUUUAUCCAAUUUAUGAAUUGAUGAAAGGCUUAGUGUAGAAGGAUUAACAAGACAAUAGUGCCAAAUAUUACAAUUAUUAACAACACUAGU
rnacentral:lncRNA from 1 species